ensembl:lncRNA
GUGAGGAGGGAUGGGAUAAGGAACUGUUGGAGGGCAGGGUGGGGGAUAAUGACUGGACUGUAAAAAAUAUUUAAUAAAUAAUAAUAAUAAUAAUAAUAAUAGGUUCAAAACUUAAAAAAAAUCCUAGGUAUGGUGAGGGCUGAGAGAAGGCUAAUUUUGGACAUUGGUUGGCCCGUUCCUUUUGACCCUAUAAUGAUUGUACAUAGUGGAAGAAACCUCCUAUGGUACAAACUUAACAGGAAGGGAGGAAGAUCCAGGCAUCCUCCAAUCAGUUCAAGGCCAUGCUCUUACUGACUUGAGUCCCCUCACUACACCUCAGCUCUUGAACGUUCCCUACCUCCCAAUAGUGUCAUGCGCUGGGGAUCAAGGUCCUAACACAUGUACUUGGGGAGACACUUCCCCAGAGGGUCACACGGUCUACUUGGAUGACCAGACCCAUCUCACUUCUGAUGGUGAAGUAUCGUUUCCUGGCCUGUGUUAUUUCUGACUCCUACCCUCCCAGGAGCCCAGGGAAUUUCCUGACUCUUAUCUGGCUUAUUCCAGACACAUCUAAAUUUCCCUCACCCCUGUCUUUGUGGCCCCUAAAUCAUGAUAUAUUUCUUACUACUUCAGUGAAAGAGCUGUUUUCCUUGAAGCCACCCAAGGAAUUUAGUCAGAUGCCAGACUUCAGUUCUUAUAGACUGCUACACUGCCUGCUGCCCAGAGCCUCUUGACUUCUUCGUGGUCCCGUCAAAGCAGUUCUAGCUUCUCAGCCCCAUUGCUUGUGGGCUAGUGUUCUUAUCUCAGAGUAAGGUGGAAGUGGUGUUGGAUCUUAGGGCAUCAAGUCCCCAGGUCCAGACGGCUGUUCCCAUUUCAACCUCUCCCUUUCAUCCUGCUCUCCUGGCCUAGUGGGCUCUUCAUCAGUCUCGUUUGGUUUUCUAGGCCUCACAGGUACCUAUAAACCAAGUCUCUAUUUUUCUUUGCAAAUUAUUUUCCUAGUCAAGGAAAGACUUGACCUUUGGCCUUAUUUCGUGGCCUAGAAGCCAUGAAGGGGUGUAGGGGCAUCCUCCAAAGAGAGUUAGCGUGUCCUGUGAGUCAUUGACCUUAGGGUGGCUCCUCGUGGUCUCUAGGCCAGGAGAGGCUGGAAGCCCAUAAUAAGGGGAGAAAAUCAGUGUGUCUUUUACUGGCAUAUUUUGUUUGCACAAAAUAAUGUUUUUCAUUGUGAUGUUUUCAGGCAUGUAAGCAAGUUUUUAACCCCCCUCCCCCAUUGCCGCCUCCUGUCCCUUUGCCUCCCGAGGCUGACUCCCUCCCUAAAUAGUGUCUUCCUUCCUGUCCUUUAAAAUGAUUUACUUUUGUUAUUUUAAAUUAUAUCUAUGUGUAUAUCUCUGUGUGGGCAAGCGGACGUGAGUGCAGGAAGUCAUGGAAGGCAGAGGCAGCUGAUCCCCUGAAGCUGGGGUUCUAGGCAUUGUGAGCCACCUUUUCUGGGUGCUGGGAACUGAACUUGGAUCUCUGAAAGAGUAGAGCCAUCUCUCUAGCCCUAUCUUGUUUUAAAAAUAUUUUUUUUAAAAAAAAUCAUCUGCAUGAGAUGUGAGAGAAAACUUGACAUUGUCUUUCUGUUCCAUGCCUACUUUCCUUACUGUGACGAUUUAUAGUUUAUCCAUUUUUAUUCAAAUGGCACAAUUUCAUUCUUAUGGUUAACAGAGACUUUACUGGGUAUAUGUACAUAUUUAAUUCCCUCAUCCAUCCAUUGACAGAUAGAUAAUAGGUUGAUUCUGUAGCUUGGUUGUGAAUAAUGCGUGUGGUGAUUUGAAUGAUCAUAGCCUACAUAGCCUCAUAUAUUUAAGGCUUAAUUACCAGUUAGUGGAAACUGCUUAAGAAGGUAUAGGAGGUGUGGUCUUGUCGGAGGAGGUGUGGCCUUGUUGGAGGAGGUGUGGCCUUGUCGGAGGUGUGGCCUUGUCGGAGGAGGUGUGGCCUUGUUGGAGGAGGUGUGCCACUACAGGCUUUGAAAUGUCAAAAGCCCAUGGCAGCCCCGUGUCUUUCUUCUUACCUGUAGAUUAGGAUAAAGGCUGAUGUUCCCAGGCCAUGUUGGCUUGCUUCCUGCCGUGAUGAUUAUGGACUAACCUAAAACUAUAAGCAAGUCCCCAAUGAAAUGAUUUUCUUUGUAAGAGUUGCCUUACUCAUGGGGUGUCUUCACAGCAGUAGAACAGUAACUGGGACAGCGCAGCAAUAAACAAGGGUCUUACGGAUCCCCACAGUAUGACGACUUUGAUUCCUUUAGGCAUGCACUCAAUGGACCACUAGCAUAAGCUAGAAAGGUUCAGGGCAAUCUGUAGUCCAAGUUCUCAAGAUAGUCUCAUUUUAGUCCCAAGAUUCACCUCAUUUUCAUCGGGGCUCUGACUCUAGUCUUAGAGAUUUAUUGCGAAUACAGAUGAAAAGUCUGCAAGUUGGAUAAUCUCAUGGAGAAACCCUAAGCUUGAUUUCCAAUCCAAAUCUUCUUCUAAUGAUGGGAGAUCAGCAGAACUUAAGUUCACUGCGUUUUGUUCCCAUCCCAGUUCACCACAAGGGAGACUCUUACAGGAAUGCGCCACAAGAGCAUGCUGGGGGAUUACUGCCCCCUGAAUUAACGCCUACACAUCAGCAACUUGCUGCUGGACAGAUAGAACACGCAUGUGUUAUCAAAGUUUUUUGUUGGCCAUGAGUCUGACAGCAUAGAGGCUUAGCUUAGAAGGUCUCCGUUCCAUGUGCUGACCAGAACUGCUGUCACCUCACAGGUCAUCUCUGGGAGAAUCUGCUUCCCAGUUUUUCCUCAGGUCACCAAAAGGCCUUGAGGUCAACUCCAGCCUCACAGGUUCUCUUCUCAGGGCUGCUACCCAAGAUGCAUCACAAAACAAGUUCACCACUCUACAUGCAAACUGAUUCUCCUACUUCACAGAAGCCAUUGCAUGCACUGAGGGUCAGCUACUCCCUCUGAGUUUUUUUCUCAUCUCACGGGCAGGAAGAAUUUCCCUUCCGCUUUGCUGCCUGCUUAUGAUAAUGCUUUUUAUACUGAAUUUUAAUUAUUUGCCUACCUUAGAUGUUGGGCUGUCCCAAUCCUCCAGGACAUAGACUAAUAAAUGGUUAAUGCUGUGAUUAGUUAACUGACUAUCAGAGCUCAGUUAAAAGACAAAGAAAAGCUAGUGGACUACAUUAGGAUCGUGAAAGUCAUUCUGGUGGUGGGUUGUCUGGCCUUAGAAGGAAGUUAGAGCAGUCAACAUGUUUUGAAGUCACAGUGUAGGGUAAUGAUAAAUGCCACCACCAGGGAGAAGGCUAGCACUAAUUUAUAACCCUUAAUAGGAAAUUGAGAUGGACUGUGAAAGUGAACGCUUUAAACCAUCACACACGUGGAGGAACCUCAACGUGGUGGCAAGUCAGGAUUUCCCAGGAAGGUGCUACUAAGACCCAACUCUUCAGGCUACUCCGAAUAUCUCUUUAUGACUGGCCUCUCUUACUGAGGCUUCCAGUGGAAGGACUUGGAGUUAACUGAAUUGCUGGCCACAUUUAUUGUCCCCUUCUGAGGAGUGUUAAGUAGGAAACUUCUGUAACUUUCUCUUCAGGGUGUGCCUCCCAGUGAAUGUCAAGACUCUAUUCACUCCCCCCACCCCCACACCUUUCUGAAUCUGGAGAGGUUGGAGCUGCCAAAUGCUAACCUUCCUUGACCACUGAAGAAGGCUGAAGUUUCAUUGUCAAUACAGGAGAGAGGAGAGCCAUGGGGUUAUCAUAAGGGAACAAAGGGUUAAGGCUGAGCUCAUGUGUUUCCAGGUUAACUUGAGUUCGAUGAAUGUAUUAGUGCCAUGCCCAAUUUCAACAAACCCCAAGUUGUAUGCUAAGACGAAAUGUUGCUUUCUGCAAACUGACAGAGAGGCCCCAUAGUUGAGGAAUAUAUCACACAGCUCACUGGAGAGGCUGAGCUGGUGCCAGAAUGGAGUCCUCACACUUAUAUUCUCAUGACUUUGAUGUGAGAAAGGACUUUGCAGGCUACUGAAAGAGAACAUGGAGACCAGCUCAGCCAUAAAACCUUUGCGAUACAAUCUGUCCUGCCUACAGAGUAUGCUAGGACAAUAUUGGCACAGGGCUGUGAGUAACCAACCAAUGCCUGGUUUGACCUAAAGCCCAGUCCAUGAGAAGGAUCUCAUACCAGACACUGCUUAGGUUACUGAGAACUAGAGGCUAAAUAGCUCAGAAACAUAAGGUAAAACCAAACAGGAUAGGGGGAAAAAGGAAAGAAAAAGAAGAAACAAACAAGAAAAUAAUCCCAAGUGAUGUUCUGCUCUACUCAGACCAGAGCUUUAUCCGGUCACCACCAGAGAGGCUUUCUUCAACAGCAGAUAGGAAGAGAUGCAGAGACCCACAGCCAGGUAUUAUGCAGAGAGGGUGGGCAUCAGAAUCAAAUUCCUCUCCUCAGAGCUCAAGGAAUCUCAUGGAAGAGAAGGUGGAAAGAUUAUAAGAGCCAGAGGGGAUGGAGGACCCCAGGAGAACAAGACUUUCUGAAUCAGCUAAGCAGAGCGCAUGUGAGCUCACAGAGACAGAAGCAGCCAGCAGAGGGACUACGUGGGUCUGCACCAGGUCCUCAGUGUAUGUAUUACAGCUAUUAGGUGGCGUUUUUAAUGGACUCCUGCCUGUGAGAGCGUAUGGGUCCUAAGUAUUGUACCUGCUCUCGGGACUCUUUUCCUCCUUUUGGAUUGCCAUGCCCAAUUUCAAUAUGACAGCUUUAUAUUUUGCUUCAUCAUGUUUGUUAUUAUCUCUUAGAAGCCUGUUCUUUUCAAAUGACAGACAGAUCCGGAGGGGAGAGGAUAUGGGGAGGAUCUGGGAGGAGCAGAGGGAAACAAUAAUCCUGAUAUAGUGUAUGAGAAAAGAAUGCCUUUUGAACAAGUCAAGGAUACCAUUUUCAGUAGCUUGUAACACACCAACGUGAAGGGUCCCUUGUGAUUAUGCAGGAGCCGAUGGUUCUCACUUCCAAGCUAUUAAGGAAGAAUGCAGUGUCAAUCAAUGUGGGGAUGUUUUCUUUUUUAA